UCCGCGGCGCGACGCUCCCACGGACUUAGCUGGGAUGCAGAAUAGAAGCUGGGCCUUUGUCUGACUCCCCUGCAACAGUCAGCCACAGACGGGAAGGCAGCGCAGGAAACUGAGGCCAAAGGAGCCGCGCUUCCUCAUGAGCAUGAAGCGGCAAAGCCUGAACUAGAAGCUUCUAACGCCUAACCGUCCUCUUGCCGCACCAGGACCUACCUCUGCAAGGCCCUUCCUGACUUUUUCCUUAGAAUGUGUGUAUAUGUGUCUUUUUCCUUUUCUGAUGCUAAGACACCAGAAACACCAAUGUUAAGCAGAUUUCCAUCGUUGGAAGUUAAAACACCCGAACACAAGUGUUUUCUUGA
rnacentral:antisense_RNA from 1 species